rnacentral:rRNA from 1 species
GAUGAACGCUGGCGGCGUGCCUAAUACAUGCAAGUCGAGCGAAUGGAUUAAGAGCUUGCUCUUAUGAAGUUAGCGGCGGACGGGUGAGUAACACGUGGGUAACCUGCCCAUAAGACUGGGAUAACUCCGGGAAACCGGGGCUAAUACCGGAUAACAUUUUGAACCGCAUGGUUCGAAAUUGAAAGGCGGCUUCGGCUGUCAUUUAUGGAUGGACCCGCGUCGCAUUAGCUAGUUGGUGAGGUAACGGCUCACCAAGGCAACGAUGGGUAGCCGACCUGAGAGGGUGGUCGGCCACAGUGGGACUGAGACACGGCCCAGACUCCUACGGAAGGCAGCAGGAGGGGAUGUUUAGCGAUGGACGAAAGUCUGACGGAGCAACGACGCGUGAGUGUUGAAGGCUUUCGGGUCGUAAAACUCUGUUGUUAGUGAAGAACAAGUGCUAGUUGAAUAAGCUGGCACCUUGACGGUACCUAACCAGAAAGCCACGGCUAACUACGUGCCAGCCGCCGCGGUAA